GCUGUUGGCUCUUCAGCUGCAAUGAGAAUACCUUUGACAAGAUCUUCAAGUGAUAGCUCUGGAAGUACUUCAUCGGACAAGACAGCUAAAUCUUCAAUUCCUGCAGCGAGGAGAAAGGAGGAUAGCAGCAAAUUUACUGCUCAACCUUCUGCAAGUGCAAAACUCAAAACUCCUUCAAAAGCUGCAUUUGGAUAGCAGCAAAUCUACUGCUCAACCUUCUGCAAGUGCAAAACUCAAAACCCCUUCAAAAGCUGUAUUGAAGAGUAAAGUACCAUCUGGGAAUUCUGCCGUCUCAGCUUAUCUGAUGUCCUCUAAGAUCAACUCAAGC
rnacentral:lncRNA from 1 species